GACGAACGCUGGCGGCGUGCUUAACACAUGCCAGUCGAACGGAAAGGCCUCUUUCGGGGGGUACUCGAGUGGCGAACGGGUGAGUAACACGUGAGUAACCUGCCCUUGACUUUGGGAUAACUUCAGGAAACUGGGGCUAAUACCGGAUAGGAGCUCCUGCUGCAUGGUGGGGGUUGGAAAGUUUCGGCGGUUGGGGAUGGACUCGCGGCUUAUCAGCUUGUUGGUGGGGUAGUGGCUUACCAAGGCUUUGACGGGUAGCCGGCCUGAGAGGGUGACCGGCCACAUUGGGACUGAGAUACGGCCCAGACUCCUACGGGAGGCAGCAGUGGGGAAUAUUGCACAAUGGGUGGAAGCCUGAUGCAGCAACGCCGUGUGCGGGAUGACGGCCUUCGGGUUGUAAACCGCUUUCGCUCAUGACGAAGCUUUGUGUGACGGUAGUGGGUAAAGAAGCACCGGCUAACUACGG
rnacentral:rRNA from 1 species